AUGGUCACACAAUCUACCAUGAUCGGACCGUCGCCAUCUACCCAGUACCAUAUAACUGGAAUUAACCGAUCCAAGUCGAAGAAGGAUUGGCCGGUGCUGCCGGCUGGCGUCAAGUUCAAUCCCACGGAUCAGGAGAGGAUCGAGCACCUUGAGGCCAAAGUGAGUGCUGACAGCGCGAGAUCUCACCCUCUCAUCGAUUUGUUCAUACCAACCAUCGACAGCAAGCACAGCAUAUGCUACACCCAUCCUCAGAAACUUCCAGGUAUCAGACUGAGUGGCCUAAGCACGCAUUUCUUCCAGCGCAAUUCCAGGGCAUUCAAAAGGGGCACGUGGACGCGUCGCAAGAUACAGUCAGAGUGCGGCAUGCACGCGAUGUGGCACAACACCGGCAAUACCUUGCCGGUGAUGGUCAACGGCCGGCAGACGGGCAGCAAAAAGUUUCUAGUGCUGCACACCAACAAGAACUUCGACCAGCAGAGGACCAACUGGGUGAUGCACUAG
rnacentral:rRNA from 1 species